GCCACUGUGGUAUAAUGGUUUAAACGUUGGACUCUGACUCCGGAGACCAGGGUUCAAAUCCCAGCUCAGCCA